rnacentral:rRNA from 1 species
UAGGGAAUCUUCGGCAAUGGACGGAAGUCUGACCGAGCAACGCCGCGUGAGUGAAGAAGGUUUUCGGAUCGUAAAGCUCUGCUGUAAGAGAAGAACGAGUGUGAGAGUGGAAAGUUCACACUGUGACGGUAUCUUACCAGAAAGGGACGGCUAACUACGUGCCAGCAGCCGCGGUAAUACGUAGGUCCCGAGCGUUGUCCGGAUUUAUUGGGCGUAAAGCGAGCGCAGGCGGUUAGAUAAGUCUGAAGUUAAAGGCUGUGGCUUAACCAUAGUAGGCUUUGGAAACUGUUUAACUUGAGUGCAAGAGGGGAGAGUGGAAUUCCAUGUGUAGCGGUGGAAUGCGUAGAUAUAUGGAGGAACACCGGUGGCGAAAGCGGCUCUCUGGCUUGUAACUGACGCUGAGGCUCGAAAGCGUGGGGAGCAAACAGGAUUAGAUACCCUGGUAGUCCACGCUGUAAACGAUGAGUGCUAGGUGUUAGACCCUUUCCGGGGUUUAGUGCCGUAGCUAACGCAUUAAGCACUCCGCCUGGGGAGUACGACCGCAAGGUUG